AUUGAACGCUGGCGGCAUGCCUUACACAUGCAAGUCGAACGGCAGCACGGGGGCAACCCUGGUGGCGAGUGGCGAACGGGUGAGUAAUGCAUCGGAACGUGUCCUCUUGUGGGGGAUAACCAGUCGAAAGAUUGGCUAAUACCGCAUGAGAUCGCAAGAUGAAAGCGGGGGACCGCAAGGCCUCGCGCGAGAGGAGCGGCCGAUGCCAGAUUAGCUAGUUGGUGGGGUAAAAGCCUACCAAGGCGACAAUCCGUAGCUGGUCUGAGAGGACGACCAGCCACACGGGGACAGAGACACGGCCCAGACGCCUACGGGAGGCAGCAGUGGGGAAUUUUGGACGAUGGGCGCAAGCCUGAUCCAGCCAUGCCGCGUGUGUGAAGAAGGCCUUCGGGUUGUAAAGCACUUUCGGACGGAACGAAAUCGCGCGGACGAACAUUCCGCGUGGAUGACGGUACUAUUUGUAAGCUCCGGCUAACUCCGUGCCAGCCGCCGCCGUAAUAC
rnacentral:rRNA from 1 species